UUGAAGAGAAGGGAAGAGAAGAGAAGAGAUGGGAAGAGGAGAGUGGUGGGCUUCUUCUAAUUGGUGUUCCUACAAACGUACCACCAUUCUUGUUUGUUCAAUUAACAUUUUUGUUGCUCUCUAUGUGCUUCAUUCAUACACUUCACCAACCAUCAAUGCUUUUAGGUAUACUCCAGAUCAGCUUACCAAAAUGGAAGAUUCCAAUCGAAUAAGAAAACAACUACAACCUCUGCAACUUAUUCAACUAACACAGUUGAAAG
rnacentral:misc_RNA from 1 species